rnacentral:lncRNA from 1 species
AUUCAUGUUUAAUUUUUAUGAGAUUCUUAUGUGAUAGUGACAACUGCACCCUUGACCUUGCUGAAGGAGGGGAGGCAUGAAGCUAAUCAGAAAAUUUUCUCUAAUAAGCUUUCAUAGAAGAGUUUUCCAAAUAAAAUGAAGAGGGCUAUCAUGGCAUAUCAAGUUUCUCUAAUUUUCAGGAAACAAAGAUACUAAUUUGCUUUACUCUUAGGGAUUCUUAAAAGGCCUCUUUUCUAACUGCAUAUUUAGAAUAUAUAAUCAGAGGACCAACGUUCAAUAUCUUUUUUUGUGCCAUCACUUUAAAAAGUGCAGCCAUGCUCCCCACUUAACUAUCUGGAGUUGAGAAAUGAUCUGGGAGUUGGCCCAGAAAUAGUGUGAACAGCUAGAGCCAAUAUUGACAAAUCCUUAUUCUGCAACCCCACAAGUUUCUCUCCUAGGGCUAGGGGUAAGAAUGCAGCAGUGAACAUGGUUCCUGCACUCAUGAAGCAAAUGUAUCCACUGUGGUACAAAAGAGACUGUAAAAAACAAACCCAAAUGGACAACAGACCCCAACUCCAGUUUAAAAACGCCACCACUCAACAGCCUGUUUUCUGAGCCUAUGACCACAUAUAUGCUGCAGAACCCUUUCAGGGUGUAUCUGAAACUACUUCUCUUAAAGGCAAGCUGUAACUGGUGCCAGAAAAGACAGAAGCUGAUUGAGGUCCCAGCUUGGUAACAGUUUGAAGAGUUGCAGGACUGGCUGGAUGAGUACUGGCUGCAGCAAAUCAGGCUGCCAGGAUUCUUUAUGGCUGUUUCUGCUUCCACUACAGCUGAGUCAGAAAGGUCGCUGCCCCGUGG